AACCAUAUGGCCGAGUGGUUCAAGGCGAUGGUUUUAAGUCGAGUAUUUAUACUCUUAUUAUCACCAUUUUCAUUGCGAAGCGUGAGUUCGAACCUCACAGUGGACA